CAGUGGACCAAGUGUCAGUCAUUGAA
rnacentral:piRNA from 1 species